AGCCACAUCACCACCAACCACAUCACCCACCAUCACCCCCAACCACAUCAUCACCAACCACACCCACCACUAUCACCACCAACCACAUCACCACCAACCACAUCACCAAUCACAUCAUGCACCAACCACAUCACCAAUGACAUCACCCACCAACCACAUCACCACCAACCACAUCACCCACCACCACCACCAACCACAUCAUCACCAAAUCACCAACCACAUUACCCACCACCACCACGACCCACCAUCACCCUCAACCACAUCAUCACCAACCACAUCACCACCAACCACAUCACACCAACCACAUCACCACCAACCACAUCACCCACCACUAUCACCACCAACCACAUCGCCACCAACCACAUCACCCACCAUCACCACCAACCACAUCACCACCAACCACAUAACCACCAACCACAUCACCCACCACUAUCACCCCCAACCACAUCACCCACCACUAUCACCCCCAACCACAUCACCCACCACUAUCACCACCAACCACAUCACCCACCACUAUCACCCCCAACCACAUCACCCACCACUAUCACCCCCA
rnacentral:lncRNA from 1 species